GGCUCUGUGGUCUAGUGGUAUGAUUCGCGCUUCGGGUAACCCCCUCACUUUGAACAAGUGCUUGUGCGAGGUCUCGGGUUCGAUCCCCGACAGAGCCC